GACGUAGGAUGCAAGCGUUGUCCGGAUUUAUUGGGCGUAAAGAGUUCGUAGGCGGUUCGUUAAGUCUGAUGUUAAAGACUGGGGCUCAACCCUGGGAGUGCAUUGGAUACUGGCGGACUGGAGUACAGUAGAGGCAAGCGGAAUUCCAGGUGUAGCGGUGAAAUGCGUAGAUAUCGGGAGGAACACCUGUGGCGAAAGCGGCUCACUGGACCACAACUGACGCUGAGGCGCGAAAGCUAGGGGAGCAAACAGG
rnacentral:rRNA from 1 species